AGAGUUUGAUCCUGGCUCAGGAUGAACGCUGGCGGCGUGCCUAAUACAUGCAAGUCGAGCGAACAGAUAAGGAGCUUGCUCCUUUGACGUUAGCGGCGGACGGGUGAGUAACACGUGGGUAACCUACCUAUAAGACUGGAAUAACUCCGGGAAACCGGGGCUAAUGCCGGAUAAUAUUUAGAACCGCAUGGUUCUAAAGUGAAAGAUGGUUUUGCUAUCACUUAUAGAUGGACCCGCGCCGUAUUAGCUAGUUGGUGGGGUAAUGGCUUACCAAGGCAACGAUACGUAGCCGACCUGAGAGGGUGAUCGGCCACACUGGAACUGAGACACGGUCCAGACUCCUACGGGAGGCAGCAGUAGGGAAUCUUCCGCAAUGGGCGAAAGCCUGACGGAGCAACGCCGCGUAAGUGAUGAAGGUCUUCGGAUCGUAAAACUCUGUUAUUAGGGAAGAACAAAUGUGUAAGUAACUGUGCACGUCUUGACGGUACCUAAUCAGAAAGCCACGGCUAACUACGUG
rnacentral:rRNA from 1 species